rnacentral:rRNA from 1 species
CAACCGUAAACCAUGCCGACUGAUCGUUGGUUAGAAGUCUGUAUUCUUUUCAGCGUUCGAAAGAAAUUGAAGUUUUUGGGCCCUGGGGGGAGUAUGGUUGCAAGACUGAAACUUAAAGGAAUUGACGGAAGGGCACCACCAG